CUCACCGCCGACAUCAGAGCAAUGAUUCGCCUGACCAUGCGCCGACCUGAACAACAUGCCGAGCCGUACUACGGCCUCGCCCUGUUACAUCGCAGGUAAACCGACCCCCGCCUAUAAAAGGGGGCCUUGGCCCCACGGUGGAAGAGGGAUGGAUACACUCUACAGACAUUAUUUAUCUCCCUUUCUACACUAUUUGCCCCCUCCCUGACUUGAGCGUCGGAGGGCCGGCGCCGGAAAACCCGGCCACCGGUUCGUGUGCAGGCACCCGGACGGAGGACGCCGCCAACUGACGGAUCGCCGCUUCGCCACGAGGACCUGCCGCCCCUUCUCUCCGAC
rnacentral:lncRNA from 1 species